rnacentral:rRNA from 1 species
GACAGAGGGGGCAAGCGUUGCUCGGAAUUACUGGGCGUAAAGCGCACGUAGUCGGCUUUGCAAGUCGGUUGUGAAAUCCCCGGGCUCAACCUGGGAACUGCAUCCGAGACUGCAUUGCUAGAGUAUGGGAGAGGGAAGCGGAAUUUCUGGUGUAGCAGUGAAAUGCGUAGAUAUCAGAAGGAACAUCAGUGGCGAAGGCGGCUUCCUGGACCAAUACUGACGAUCAGGUGCGAAAGCGUGGGGAGCAAACAGG